CAGCCGCCGCGGUAAUACCGGCGGCCCGAGUGGCGGUCACUAUUAUUUGGCUUAAAACGUCCGUAGCCGGGUUGGGAAAUCCUCCGGGAAAUCUGGCCGCUUAACGGUCAGAAUGCCGGAGGAUACUCCCAGCCUAGGGAGCGGGAGAGGCCGAGGGUAUUCCCGGAGUAGGGGGGAAAUCCUAUAAUCCCGGGAGGACCACCUGUGGCGAAGGCGCUCGGCUGGAACGCGUCCGACGGUGAGGGACGAAGGCCAGGGGAGCAAACCGGAUUAGAUACCCGGGUAGUCCUGGCUGUAAACGAUGCGGACUUUGUGUCGGACAAGCUAUGAGCUUGUCCGGUGCCGGAGGGAAACCGUUAAGUCCGCCGCCUGGGGAGUACGGCCGCAAGGCUGAAACUUAAAGGAAUUGGCGGG
rnacentral:rRNA from 1 species